GCUACGACGGCCACGUCGUCAGGGGCUUCCCCCACUCCUGGGCCCAUCUAUGUGCCUGCAAUGGCCUCAGUGGUCACCUCCAGCUGACACAGGACAGGACUUAUGGGCUGGAGCCGGAUCCCAGUGGCCCCCCCGGGCAGCACGUCGCCCACCGGCUGCGGGACUGUGGGCUGAGACCCCCCCAGGGACCCCCGGAUGACGUGGGGACGGAGCUGCCAUGGCUGCAUAGGGCCAAACGAGCUCCAGCCCAGCAGCGCGUUGUGGAGCUGGUGAUGGUGGUGGACCACGCU